rnacentral:rRNA from 1 species
GACGAACGCUGGCGGCGUGCCUAAUACAUGCAAGUCGAACGCACAGUUUAUACCGUAGCUUGCUACACCAUAGACUGUGAGUUGCGAACGGGUGAGUAACGCGUAGGUAACCUGCCUGGUAGCGGGGGAUAACUAUUGGAAACGAUAGCUAAUACCGCAUGAUAUUGAUUAUUGCAUGAUAAUUGAUUGAAAGAUGCUAUUGCAUCACUACCAGAUGGACCUGCGUUGUAUUAGCUAGUAGGGGAGGUAACGGCUCACCUAGGGGGCGAUACAUAGCCGACCUGAGGAGGAGGAUCGCCACAACGGGAACGGGGAACGGCCCAGAAUUCCUAGGGAGGGAGCAGUAGGGAAUCUUUGGCAAUGGAGGGAAGGCUUGACGAGGAAAGGCGGGGGGUGGGAGAAGGGUGUUCGGUUGGAAAACCCCGUUGUGAGGGAAGAAAGGGCGUGAGAGUGGAAAGUUCACACUGUGACGUUACCUUAACAGAAAGCAACGGCUAACUACGUG